rnacentral:rRNA from 1 species
AGUGAACGCUGGCGGCAUGCCUAACACAUGCAAGUCGAACGACACCACAGUAAGAGCUGGCUCUUGGGGGUGGCGAGUGGCGGACGGUUGAGGAGUGCAUCGGAUACCACUUUUACGUGGGGGAUAACGCAGGAAAAUUACCGAUAUCACAUCAUAUAUCGUACGGGUGAAAGCAGGAGUACUACGGACUUUUCGGGUUGGUAAGAGCCGAUGUCGGAUUAGCUAGUUUGCGGGGUAAAGGCCCACCAAGGCGACGCUGCGUAGCUGGUCUGAGAGGAUGAUCAGCCACACUGGAACUGAGACACGGUCCAGACUCCGACGGGAGGCAGCAGUGGGGAAUAUUGCACAAUGGGCGAAAGCCUGAUAGAGCAAUACCGCGUGAGUGAUGAAGGCCUUCGGGUUGUAAAGCCCUGUUGUUGGGAAAGAAAAACAGCAGGUUAAUACCCGGCUGUUCUGACGGUACCCAAAGAAUAAGCACCGGCUAACUUCGUG